AAAAAAUGCAUCAAGUGGUCACGAGUACAACACUAGUAAACGCACUGUGCAUGCUCCGCUUCUAAGCGCUAGCAGGCCACUGCACACGCAGACACACCACUUAAGGGAAGAAUCACAGGAGUAGGGACGCAAGACCCCAGAAGUAUGCCAACAGGUAAAACCUGAAGUCAGUCAGGUGCGGUGGCUCAUGCCUGUCAUCUCAGCACUUUCAGAUGGAUUAUUUGAGAACCCUUAACCAACAUUAAGAAGUCUAGCUACACUCCUGGAGUCCAGCUAACAUGGAGAAACCAUACAGAGAGGCCACAUGGAGCGGUGGGGACAUGAGAAUGUGCAGGGAGGGAGAGGAGUCCAGCUGCCUCAUAAUCCUACCGGAGCCCAGGCAUCAGCCAUCUCUGCCAACCUGCAGCACGAGUGAGGACGCGAGUGUGCCACCUGGCAAGUGGAUCCUCUGGCCCCAGUCAAGGAGCUGCAGCUGAUGGUGCAUGGAGCAGAGAGAAACUGCCCUGCUGAGCCCUGCCAAAAUCAUAAAAUUGUGAGCAAUGAAACAAAGUGGCUGUUAUUUUAAUCCACUAAUAUUUGGGAUAGUGUGUUACAUCGCAAUAGAUAACUGAGACACAUUCAUCAAAUAAAUAUUUAUCUAACCUGCUGUUUAUAAUAAUAAUACAACACUAAUAUUGAGUAUGCUGUAAUAUAUAGCAAUAUAAUUAAUAUGGUAAUAUUUAUCUAUCUAUUAUUGACAGACUUUGUGAUGAGUAGGAAAUUGUAUCUAUCUUUAAGGCCUGCAGUCAAGAAGGGGAAACUAUAUUAAAAGCUAGUGUUUUGGAAUUUCGUCAACAAGUCUGUUUCCACGAUUUAAUAGACUUCAAAAUAUUCUGUGUUUUCCUCCUAUAACAAAUAUGUUCCUUGUGGACCUAAUCUGGCAUAUAAUAUAUGUACAAAAAUACAAGUUAAUUAAUGAAUUAAAGUCAGUGGAAUCUCUUAUGUCAGUGAAAGCAAUAGGGUUGCUGACAAAAAAAGAAAGUAAAAGUUUUUAGUGAAUUGUAUAUGCACCACUGGUUUUUAUUUCACCUUUAUCUUAAACAGUCAGCCACUCACUUAAACUUUGGCUUCUGAGGCUGAGAGCCACAUAAAAGGGAGCACUAAAUAACUGCAAGUGUAAAGAAUGAUUUGUGCUCCCUAAAAUGCUUUAUUCAUACAAGGGAACUGAGGCUUGGAGAGGCAAAGGGGCUUGCUCAUAAUCACACACCUGGCACAUUACGGAUUUCAGACUCAAACAGACAUUUUUAAAACCAAGUCCAUUGUCUUGGCUAAAGUACACCUUCUCCAAACUCCUAUCUUUCUCUUACUCAAAAUUUCCCUUCAAAUCUACACAUUCCAAGAUCUCUCUUAGAGCUGGGCC
rnacentral:lncRNA from 10 species